AACGAACGCUGGCGGCAUGCCUAACACAUGCAAGUCGAACGAAGCCUUCGGGCUUAGUGGCGCACGGGUGCGUAACGCGUGGGAAACUGCCCUUGGGUUCGGAAUAACAGGUAGAAAUGACUGCUAAUACCGGAUGAUGUCUUCGGACCAAAGGUUUAUCGCCCAAGGAUGAGCCCGCGUAGGAUUAGGUAGUUGGUGGGGUAAUGGCCCACCAAGCCGACGAUGCUUAGCUGGUCCGAGAGGAUGAUCAGCCACACUGGGAUUGAGACACGGCCCAGAUUCCUACGGGAGGCAGCAGUGGGGAAUAUUGGAGAAUGGGGGGAAGCCUGAUCCAGUAAUGCCGCGAGAGUGAUGAAGGCCUUAGGGUUGUAAAGCUCUUUACCAGGGAUGAUAAUGACAGUACCUGGAGAAUAAGCUCCGGCUAACUCCGUGCCAGCCGCCGCCGUAAGAC
rnacentral:rRNA from 1 species